rnacentral:misc_RNA from 1 species
AAGUCGUAACAAGGUUUCCGUAGGUGAACCUGCGGAAGGAUCAUUAUUUAUUUGGGUUGGGUUACUUUUUUAAAAAGUAAACCCUAUGCCAAAUAAAAGCGAAAAACUUUUCUGUUCCCUAUUUAUAGGGAGGAGCAAGAUGAACUUCUAUUUAAAACCAUCCACUCUUUACAAAAUCUAUAUAACAUUAUAAAAUAAAAAAAAAGAUCACUUUCAACAACGGAUCUCUUGGCUCUC